rnacentral:rRNA from 1 species
UACAGAGGUCCCAAGCGUUGUUCGGAUUCACUGGGCGUAAAGGGUGCGUAGGUGGUGAGGCAAGUUCGAUGUGAAAUCUCCGGGCUUAACCCGGAAAUGGCAUUGAAAACUGCCUUGCUAGAGGGUUGGAAGGGGGACUGGAAUUCUUGGUGUAGCAGUGAAAUGCGUAGAUAUCAAGAGGAACACCAGUGGCGAAGGCGAGUCUCUGGACAACACCUGACACUGAGGCACGAAAGCUAGGGGAGCAAACAGG